rnacentral:rRNA from 1 species
UAGGUAGGGGGCUAGCGUUAUCCGGAAUUACUGGGCGUAAAGGGCGCGUAGGCGGUCGUAUAAGUCAGAUGUGAAAGCCCGGGGCUCAACCCCGGAAGUGCAUUUGAUACUGUACGACUUGAGUAUGGGAGAGAGAAGUGGAAUUCCUGGUGUAGAGGUGAAAUUCGUAGAUAUCAGGAGGAACACCGGUGGCCAAGGCGACUUCCUGGACCAAUACUGACGCUGAGGCGCGAAGGCGUGGUUAGCAAACACG